rnacentral:tRNA from 1 species
CAUUAAAAAGCUUAAGUAAGCAAGAGUCUCUUAAAUUCUAGAUGGUAAAUUAACAAUUACCUUUAAUGA